CGGGGAGUAGCGCAGCCUGGUAGCGCAUCUGCUUUGGGAGCAGAGGGUCGCAGGUUCGAAUCCUGUCUCCCCGACCA
rnacentral:tRNA from 179 species